rnacentral:rRNA from 1 species
AGCAGCCGCGGUAAUUCCAGCUCCAAUAGCGUAUAUUAAAGUUGUUGCAGUUAAAAAGCUCGUAGUUGAAUUUCGGGGCCAGUAGGUCGGUCGUGCCACUGGUAUGAACUGGUCUCACUGGUCCCUCCCUCUUGAAGAACCGUGAUGCCAUUAAUUUGGUGUUGCGGGGAAACAGGACUGUUACUUUGAAAAAAUUAGAGUGCUUAAAGCAGGCUUACGCUUGAAUACAUUAGCAUGGAAUAACGAAAUAGGACGAUCGAUUCUAUUUUGUUGGUUUCUAGGAUCGACGUAAUGAUUAAUAGGGAUAGUUGGGGGCAUUAGUAUUCAAUUGUCAGAGGUGAAAUUCUUGGAUUUAUUGAAGACUAACUACUGCGAAAGCAUUUGCCAAGGAUGUUUUCAUUAAUCAAGAACGAAAGUUAGGGGAUCGAAGACGAUCAGAUACCGUGUAGUCUUAACCAUAAACUAUGCCGACUAGGGAUCGGAUGAAGUUAUUUUUAAUUGACUNAUUCGGCGCCUUACG